GAAAAAGAAAGCAGAGUGGGAGAAAGGGUUUAAGAGGACAUGUGACAGAAGAAUGCAGCGCAGAAGAGAGCAGAUGAAAUGCAAGAAGGGAGAUGAAAAGGAGUGUGUCAGACUAGACAGAAAACAGUGUUGCUAGAAACAGGUAGGCGGUGAAGGAGGAGAAGAGAUACUGUAUCUAUGACGGAUUGAGGAGGGAGGGAUGAAUAAAGAAAGGAUACAACGGCUGGGACGAGUGGCUGCUGUCCUCCUGAUCCAUGCAGUUACUGUGGCAAUGGUGACAGGAAUUAUGGUGGAGCAGGCAGGUGAGUCAGAGGGAGCAAAGGUGGGGGGGGUUGUAGACGUGGAAGAAAUGGAGACGGAGGGGAUGAGCUAUAAGGAAGCGUUGGUUAGAGAGAAAGCAUUUCAGAAAAACCCCUUUCAAAUACAAUUUGUUAAAAAUAAUGCAUUUUUUUAUUGAAGGUUGGAUAAUAAGCAUCAAGUCAAAUGAAUUUACUAAAAGAAAAAAGAGGCAUAGAUUUAGAGGAUUGAUGCAGAAGGCAAA
ensembl:lncRNA